rnacentral:rRNA from 1 species
GAUGAACGCUAGCGGCAGGCCUAACACAUGCAAGUCGAGGGAGAGGUUAUCUUCGGGUAACCAAAACCGGCGCACGGGUGCGUAACGCGUAUACAAUCUGCCUUUCACAUAGGGAUAGCCCGAAGAAAUUUGGAUUAAUACCUAAUGGUAUAUAAGAGCGGCAUCGUUUUUAUAUUAAAGCUACGGUGGUGAAAGAUGAGUAUGCGUUCUAUUAGCUAGUUGAAGAGGUAGCGGCUCCCCAAGGCGACGAUAGAUAGGGGUUCUGAGAGGGAUGUCCCCCACACUGGUACUGAGAUACGGACCAGACUCCUACGGGAGGCAGCAGUGAGGAAUAUUGGACAAUGGUCGGAAGACUGAUCCAGCCAUGCCGCGUGCAGGAUGAAGGUCCUAUGGAUUGUAAACUGCUUUUGUAAGGGAAGAAUAAGGAGUACGUGUACUUUGAUGACGGUACCUUACGAAUAAGCAUCGGCUAACUCCGUGCCAGCAGCCGCGGUAAUACGGAGGAUGCGAGCGUUAUCCGGAAUCAUUGGGUUUAAAGGGUCCGUAGGCGGGCUGAUAAGUCAGAGGUGAAAGCGCUUAGCUCAACUAAGCAACUGCCUUUGAAACUGUCAGUCUUGAAUGAUUGUGAAGUAGUUGGAAUGUGUAGUGUAGCGGUGAAAUGCUUAGAUAUUGCACAGAACACCGAUAGCGAAGGCAUAUUACUAACAAUUUAUUGACGCUGAUGGACGAAAGCGUGGGGAGCGAACAGG